rnacentral:lncRNA from 1 species
AAUUCCUCUUUUCCCUUCCCUUCUCUCUUUCUUCAUCUCGCUCUUUCAAUGAUUCUUCUUCUUCUCUCUCUUUUCCCCCUUUCACUUCUUCCUCCACCUCUGCUUCUCUUCCUUCCAUUGUUACUCUUCUCAUGGACUAUGUUGGCCUCUCAAUGGAAUCAGCCAUGAAUGCAUCUUCGUGUCUUCUCCACCUUAAAACCACUGAAAAACCCCUCUCUGUAAUAAACUUCCUAAAAAACUCUGAUUUCAGUGAUACCCAUAUCCAAACUAUCAUCUGUAAACGUCCCCAGCUUCUUAAAGCCAAUGUGGAGAAAACCCUCAAACCCAAAUUCAGAGCGUUCCAUGAUUUGGGUCUUUUGGGGUGCGAUCUCGGACACAUCAUCUCUGCAAAUCCAGUCAUUCUCACAAAGAGUACUGAGAAACAAAUUCUCCCAAAAAUUGAGUGCCUCAAGAACUAUUUGCACACCAAUGAGAAGGUUGUAAGAGCUCUCAAAAGAUCUAGUUGGAUUCUGAUAUUUGAUAUGGAGAAGAGACUAGUACCCAACAUAAGGUUAUUGGAGAGCUAUGGAGUUGAGGACUCACAGUUACAUAAAUUUCUUUUAAGACAGCCCAGAUUCUUUACUAUAGAACCAAAACGAAUUAAGGAAAUUGCAGAGAGGGUGAAGGAAAUGGGUUUCAACCCUAAUUCGAGGUUGUUUUCUCAUGCGAUUUUGGCAAUGAGUAGUCUGAGCAGGGAGACAUGGCAGGGCAAAGUUGAGUUGUGUAAGAAUUUUGGGUGGUCCGAAGAGGAUGUUAUGUGUGCAUUUCGAAGGUUUCCAUAUUUAUUCUCUUUGUCUGAGAAGAAAUUGACGAUGGGUAUGGAUUAUUUCAUUAAUGUAUUAAAAUUGGACAAGUUUUAUCUUGUUUCGCAUCCUGUGCUUUUCUCCCUUAGUUUAGAGGGAAGGGUUAUCCCCAGGCACCGAGUCUUGCAAGCUUUGAGAUCGAAGAAUUUGCUCAAGAAGGAUGUCGAAUUCACGUCGUUUUGCAUAAGAGCAGAAAAUGUAUUUUUGCAAAGAUAUGUGUUGAGUUUUGGGAAUGAGGCUGAAUACUUGUUGAGGGUUUAUAAGGGGAUCACUUAAAAUUGAGGGCUUCUAUGUGGUUUUGCCACAGCAUUCUUCACCAUCAAAGUUGGAAACGAAUAUUUCAAAAGUAAAAGAUCAGUCCACAUUAAUGGUGAAUUGGGGGCCUUGGUCUUAAAGAUUAGAAGAAUGGGGAGCUUAGUCUUGCAAAAGGUGCUUAGAAGAUAGUUUUUAGCUCAAUUUUGGUGCAUUAUAUGCAUACAUAGGUGGCAAAUAGCUAAGGAUCUUUCACAUUGAGGCCCUUUCAUCUGAUGCCCAUGAUGAAGAAGAGUGCUUUGGCCCUGCUUGCCUUCUCCUUGGCAUUGGGGCAUUUCGAUACCGAAAUUUUGCAUGCUGGGAAAAUGGUGGAAAAACACUCAAAAGCUUGCCUUCUUUUUUUUUGUUUUUUUUCCAGCUUUUUUGUUGUGGGUGGGGUUGGGGCGCUUUGCUUUUUCAUCAUGCUAUUUUACUUUGAAGCGCAAUUUCGUUUACAGUAGGAUUUUUUGCUCUUUCUCCUUACCCUGGGAAAUAGAGGGUGACUCUCAUUAUGUGAGCUAGGUGAGACUCGAACCAUAUGGUGGUUUGCGAGUAUAUUACUAUAGUUUUAGGAUGUGUUUCCCUCAACCCAUCAUCUUUUCCCGCCACUUUUUGUGGCCACCGAAGCGGUGGUCUCUGGAUAAAGGAAGGGCAUCUCAGGUUACUAUCAAUUUAGGUGACUAACUUCUAUUUGUCUCGGUUUACUUUACUUGUUUACAUUGUCUGAUUAUUUCAGUGUUUUCUGCUGUGUUUUAUUGAAUGGAAUCUUUUCAUCAAUCAUGUAAAAGAAAAACGGAGGUUUUGCCUUUUAUAAUAGUAAAUCAGGUUUUAGGACACUUUUAUGGAUAAGAGUAUGUAAAAUAUGAAAUCCACGGCCAGGUCGGAUUAAGCUGUUGGGUUGGGGUUGAGAUCAUGAUUGCAUGAGAACAUCCUCUACAUGGAAAUGUUGGUGCAUUUUCUACAGAGAUGAGGACAUUUUCUUGUUGUUUCUGGGUGGGGUAUUGUAUCUCCGAAUUAUGACUACUGCCUUCUUUCUUAACCCUUGGAACAUUUUCUUUUGUUUUCUUUUGGGGACAAUUUGUUGUGGUUUCUGCAGAGGGAUUGUACCUCUGUAUUAUGACCACCACUUUUUUUUCAAAGCUGCAAAGGAAAGUUACAACAGUUGCACCCCAUUUCUUCAUCAUCUAACCACACAGAUCAGUGAAAUUUUUCAUGGAGCAGCUUUAUAAACAGUUCUGAGUAAAUACAGCUUCAAAAAAACAGUACUUAUAGCCCAUCUUUAAGUAGCCACACCUGUGAUGAAAGUUCCUCUAUUUAUAGGGAGAGUUCAGUGUAUGCUGGUUCUUACCACUUUUCACAACCUAAUUGCUAGUAUUGAGAACUAAUGAUAAACUACAGGAAUUCAAGAAACUAUAAUUGUUGAUUAUGCUUCAUGUACCAUAAUAAACUGAGUCAGGCAUGUAAUAAACUGAGAACAUAAGAAUCAAUGUUUGAAACUUGGCAUUCUGGAUCUGGAAUUGCCAAUCCUGAUUGGUUUCAAUGGGUGGUCAAUCAGGGUCCCCUCCCCCAAAAUGGCCCCAAUUUUAUUUUUCAUUAGUUUAAACUGGUUUGACAAUUUGGAUUGAUCGGCCUAUCCAGAUCAGUGGGUGAUCCAAAACACUAUGCUGCAUUUUGAAGGUUAUGUUACAUGGAUUAUGGGUGAUCCAAAACACAAUUCCUCUUUUUCCUUCUCAUGGAUUAUGUUGCAUGCGCAUUUCGAAGGUUUCCAAAUUUGUUUUUUUCAAAGAAGAAGUUGCAGGGGGUCAUGGAAUAUUUCACUAACGAAAUUAAGUUUGGUAAGCUCAUAUUGCACUAAGAAAAUUAAGUUUGGCAAGAACCAUUUGAUGUGUAAUCCUCGACGUUUUCGGAUUAGUUUGGAGGGAAGGGUGAUCUCUAGGCACAUACACCACAACCUUUGAGAUCUAAAAAUUGCUCAAAGGGAUGCAGAUAUGGUAUCUGUUUGCAAACAAAUAAAAAAGAUGUUUUUGCAGAAGUUUGCGUAAAAUUUUGGGAAUUUACAAGGGAAUCCCCAAAAAGAUAGAGAGAGUAGAUUUAGAUGGGCUGGUUAUGUGUGGCUCAAACUUAGUACAACACCGAUUAGGAGGUGCAAGUUAGUUCAAGUGGAAAGUUUAAAAAGGGCAAAUGUAGGCCCAAAUAAAGCAUAAUGACGGACUAAGAUUCGUGUGAUCGAUCUUAUUUAGUUGGGAAAAAGCUUCGACGAUGAUGAUAGGGGAAUCGAAAAAGCUUUGACGAUGAUGAUAGGGGAAUCCCCAAAAAAUUGGAUGGGUCUUAACUUUCAAAUUCGAGAUGCAUUCUUGUUUCCAUUGCUCUUAAGUUUUCUAGUGUUUCCUUCUUCCUUCUAUUUGGUUCUAAUGGGGCUUUGUAUUUCUUCCACUCAAUGAAUGACUUCUAUUACUUUGUAUGUAAGACUAACUGUUAUAUUAUGUUGAAUGGGUUUUGUGGCUCAUUGGUGAAGAUAGAUGCCAAAUUUUGUUCAACUCUUGACUCGUGAAUGGAAAUAAUAGGCUAGAGGCUUAAAACAACUCUAAUUGUAAGUAGUGCAGCUGAUGAGAACGGUCUAUUGAGAUUGUUUUGGGCAAGAAAGAGAAUUAUGGCUCAUUGGGCAUAGGGGUGGCAACGGGUCUGGUCUGGACAGAUCCAAACCCAAACACUAUUUGGAUCCAGACCCAACGCGCCUGGUCCAAUUUUUGGACCUUGAUCGGGUCUACCCCUAGAGUCCUGGGUCAGGUUCGGGUCCAUUGCCACCCCUGAUUGGAAAUGAGAUGCAGAAUGGCUUCAUUUUUCCAGUUGUUUUGAAGACAAGGAAAGAAUAUCAUUUGGGGUUUAUGAUUUGAUAACACCAUGGGAUUAGACGUGCUCCAUCUCAUGUCCGGGCGGCGCCUCUUAGAUUGGUGCAUUGCGAUGAUGCUUUGGAGGUCUCUUGCUUGAAGCCUGAAUAUCCAAAAUUCCUAAUUUGCUCUUGGUGGAUUUUGAUGGUUGAUAUCAAGAAGAGAUUACUGCUCAAUAUAAGGUUAAUAAUGAAUGCACUCGAAGAAAUCCGGUGUGAUGGAAAUGAAGUUAUUGUUUCGUGGUGUAUCAUUUCUAUUUAUUGUUAAUGGAAGGUUGUUAUCCAUUGGGAAAAUGAAGAGAUUCAUCAUUAUCAUCAUCGGAGUCUCAUCUCAACUAUUUAGGAGAAUUUUGUUUCGCUAUUCCGCUCUAUCAAAAAUCAUUUCUUCAUUGACACUAUGAGUUAUCAUUUCUCUUUUCAUUAUUUUAAUCUAUGCAUUCUCAUUACCCUUUUAGCGUCUUGCUCUUGAAUCAAAUCGCUCCUCUUAACUGGUACUAAGUUAAAUCGACGUUAUACAUAGCCAAACUAUUAAGUCUCUUUUUCCUCUUCUUAUUACAUAUUGGAGCCACAGCUGAAUUUUCUUAGAUCUUAUUGCACACUGUGUUUUGCACCCUUGUGGAAAAUGUCCCCAUAGCAAAUUUCCAACUGGUUCAAAUACUGGAUUCACGAAAUCUUCCAUUUCUCAUGGAAUGCGCCCAAAUUUACGAGUUGAGAGAGUUUCAAGUCUAGAAAGCUUAUGGUCUAGUGAAGUCUAGAGGGGUACCAUGCUCCCAAAUUAUAGCCCCUGCCUGUUGGUUGAAUCUUGAAUAUCAUUUAGUGCUUCACGGUUGUGUUGUCUCUUCUGAUCAGUUGUGCUCCAUGGUUUUGCUGGCCCUGAGUGUUCGUAAAUCCGGCCGGUUAGAUCGGAACCGUUAGGGUUCCGACUCCGGUUAAGGCUGGUUUUGGUGUUCUAACUUGUAUAUGAAAUACCCCAAAAAAUAUCCUGUCCAAAACCCGCCGUUAUCCAGUCGAACCGGCCAUUUUUAUAUUAAACCUACUAGUUUUUUGGCAAACCGGAUCGGUUAGUUUAAAAAAUGGAUUGUAACAUAAUAUAAUGGAAAAAUAACAUAUAACGUCUGUUAUUUUUUAUAGGGGUCUUUAUUUGAUGCAGAAGUCACAUGUUUCUCUUGAUUGAACAUUUGAUUCCAUUUUCCCUGCAUUUUCAGCCUUAUACAAACGUUUGUAGCUAAUAAUCGGUCGAAAUUUUUGCUUUUCGCCUAUAAAUCAAUCAAUUUGAGAUCAAAAUGGCAUCGAAAUUCCACUUUCUUGGCUAUUAUUUGGGUACGCUUCAAAGUUUCACGAGAAUUCCGCCAAUCUAAAGAUUUUGGCCUCUUUUUUUAAUUUUCCUACAUCAAAAUGGAGGGAUUUUGUUCAUGAACAGACAUAUCAGCACUACUACACUCCUUAUUUGAUCGAAAUCUAGGGAUUUUGAGCUCGAUUUGAGAUUAGGACUUCGGUUAGAAGAAAACAAUGUAAGCUUUAUCUUGAAUUUUUUUUAUUUUUUGUUCUACUUUUUCUUCCUCUUUUAGUAUUUUUCUGACAAUAUUUUAUUGAAGUUAUUGAUUGCAUCCAAUAAAAGAACAUAUUUGAGGAUAAAUACUCAACGAAAAUCAAUUUUUCUUGCCCAUUUUUUUUGUGUUCUUCAAUGUUUCGGGAAAAAUCCGACAAACUACAGAUUGUGGCGUUGUUUUUUUUAUUGUUUCUCGAUCAAAAUAGGAGGCUUUUGUGGAUGACAGAGAUGUUCAGACUAUUGAACUCCUAAUUUCAACGAAAGUCAGACAUUUGGGGCUCGAUUUUAGGGGUUUUUGAUAAAUUGGUUUUUCUAAAAAAAAUUUAUUUUGCAUAUAAAACUAUGCUUAUGAUGAUUAUGAGAAGUGUUUUUCUAUUUUGUUUAAUAAAAUUAUGUUUUUUUUAUAAAAUUACAUUUUUUGAUAAAAAAAAUAUAUUUUUGGAUGAAUAUGACAAAAAUAGAUUCUUCUAUUUUUAAUGUACAAAAAAAAGUGCAUGAUAAUGCUGCUCGAUUUUUUUUUGCUCGAUAUUUUUAAUGUUACAGUGCACGAUAAUGUUGCUUGAUAUUUUCCUUCAAUUUUUUUUGCUCGAUAUUUUUAAUGUUAUAUUGCUUUUGCUUCAUUUUUUUUUUUCUCAAUUUUUUGCAUGAUAUGUUUUUUUUUAUAUUUUUCUUAAGUGCAAGAUAUUACCAAAAAUAUGCAUGCUGACAGAGGGAUGGUAAAUGAACUAAGACUAUGUGAUGCUCCCGAUCUCUAAGAUGUCUUCAAGAUGUCAAUAUUAUGAAAGGUUGCAGUAACAUAAAAAUCUUUUUUGAUCUCUACUUGAAACCACUCUUCUCUCUUUCUAAUUGUAUACCCAUACUCUUAUAUUAAAUUAAUACGUAUUGUAAAACUUGAAACUGGAGUGUGUAAACAUAUACGUAUUGUAAAACUCGAAACUGGAGUGUGUAAACAUAUAUGUAUGUGUACUUAUAUUUAUCAGUAAUAAGCAUGGGAGUUUUUAAGUUUGAAAGUUAAAGUUAAAACUUUUGACCUUUUUCAAAAUUUUCAUUGAGUGAACCCUGAUAACUAGACACAACAGUACCUUUGCGCCCCUAGCUACUCUUUUUACUACCAACAUUAUUAAUUAGACUUUGUAAGUCCAUCAAUUGAAUUGAUCUUAAAUUAUAAAUUGUUUUACAUAUCUCCAUAAUGUUCAUAUAUUAAUUUAUAUAAAUGCAGUAAACCUUCCGAGCACUUGACAACUAUAAUAAACAGUAAUAUAGGUAAAAUUUCAGUCGUCAAAUGUUUAUCGAGUAGUCCAAAAUACAUAACACUAUUUUAAUUUUAAUUUUUUCUAUAAAUCUAAUUAAAAUGAAAUUUUGAGUGUAUAUACCUAACCUUAUUGCGCACCGUAUAAAAAUAUAAAAACAUUACUUGCAGUAAUUUAAAAUUACAAAUUUACCUCCAUUAUUUUCAAGGAUAUUUCAUCAUUUUAUAUUUAAAAAAUAUUUUUUAUAUAUUUUUUAAUUGUGCUUCUAUUUUUUAGUACACACAUAUAAAAUUUCAUUAUAAUUUGAUUUCUAAAAAAAAUAUUAAAAAUCAUAUAGUGAUAUGUAUUUUUAGCCAUAUGAUGAAGAUAUGACGGUUGAGAUUCCACCUAUAUUACUAUUCAUUAUAGCUCUUGGUGUUCGUUAGCUUUUCCCAUAUAAAUGAGUAAAUAUAUUUUAAAAAUUAAAAAUAAUAAGAAAACUUCUGAACAGUUAGUUUCAAUUAUUUUUAGAUAAACCACCUAUUAACUGGAUGCUUUAUACUUUGGGGACCACAAAUGUAGAAAUGCGGUCCGGCCAAAUGAAGCAAUUUUCCAUAAAUGCUCCCAAGCGGCUAUUUUCUCUGAUGGAGUUCUUUUCCAGAGUGCUCCCGCAGGAACAUGCUCUACGGACUGCAUUUUACUCCUUUUCUAGGGUUCGAGCGUAGACGAGCAAAGGAGAGAGAGACGGAGAUUUGUGUACCUGUUGGGUUUAGAGAGAGAGUGCGCAUUUUGGAGAGAGAGAGAGAGAGGGAGGGAAAAAUAGCAUUUAUGUUUGUUGGGAUUACACAGGCCUGCUGUUUUGCUCUCUUUUUGAAUGUUUUGGGAUUUUUUCCCCUCACAAAGUAUCAGCUUUUAAAACCCAUUUUCUCUAUUUGGAGGUUUCUGAUUAUUUUGCAGAAGAUGAAGCAGCUGGAUCCACCAUUCUAAGUAAAAGAGGUAUUUUUGCUCUCCUCUUUACAUUACCCUGCCUGGUUUUUCUUUUGUUCUUUAUGUACCCAUUGUUGGUUGAAUAAUGAUGCUCCCAACCCUCAGAAAAAGCUUGGCUUUGGCAAAACCCCAUUCUCUCUAUAUGCCUCAAUUCCUCUUUUCCCUUCCCUUCUCUCUUUCUUCAUCUCGCUCUUUCAAUGAUUCUUCUUCUUCUCUCUCUUUUCCCCCUUUCACUUCUUCCUCCACCUCUGCUUCUCUUCCUUCCAUUGUUACUCUUCUCAUGGACUAUGUUGGCCUCUCAAUGGAAUCAGCCAUGAAUGCAUCUUCGUGUCUUCUCCACCUUAAAACCACUGAAAAACCCCUCUCUGUAAUAAACUUCCUAAAAAACUCUGAUUUCAGUGAUACCCAUAUCCAAACUAUCAUCUGUAAACGUCCCCAG